UACGUAGGGGGCUAGCGUUGUCCGGAUUUAUUGGGCGUAAAGAGCGUGUAGGCGGCCAGGUAGGUCUGCUGUGAAAACUCGAGGCUCAACCUCGAGACGUCGGCGGAAGCCAUCUGGCUAGAGUCCGGAAGAGGAGAGUGGAAUUCCUGGUGUAGCGGUGGAAUGCGCAGAUAUCAGGAAGAACACCAACGGCGAAGGCAGCUCGCUGGGACGGUACUGACGCUGAGACGCGAAAGCGUGGGGAGCGAACAGG
rnacentral:rRNA from 1 species